AGGUCCAUUCCUAACCCCUGAACAGCUUAAGAUUCAUCAAGGAGGUCCAUUCCUAACCCCUGAACGGUUUAAGAUUCAUCAAGGAGGUCCAUUCCUAACCCCUGAACGGUUUAAGAUUCAUCAAUGAGGUCCAUUCCUAACCCCUGAACGGUUUAAGAUUCAUCAAUGAGGUCCAUUCCUAACCCCUGAACGGUUUAAGAUUCAUCAAUGAGGUCCAUUCCUAACCCCUGAACGGUUUAAGAUUCAUCAAUGAGGUCCAUUCCUAACCCCUGAACGGUUUAAGAUUCAUCAAUGAGGUCCAUUCCUAACCCCUGAACGGUUUAAGAUUCAUCAAUGAGGUCCAUUCCUAACCCCUGAACGGUUUAAGAUUCAUCAAUGAGGUCCAUUCCUAACCCCUGAACGGUUUAAGAUUCAUCAAUGAGGUCCAUUCCUAACCCCUGAACGGUUUAAGAUUCAUCAAUGAGGUCCAUUCCUAACCCCUGAACGGUUUAAGAUUCAUCAAUGAGGUCCAUUCCUAACCCCUGAAUGGUUUAAGAUUCAUCAAGGUCCAUCGCUAAACACUGAACAGCUCCUUCACUCACUCACCGGGAUGAUCUGG